CCUUCUUCUACCUGACCCAAGAGUAAAUCAUACAGUGGCAGGAAGACUGGGGCAUAUCUUAUGCACGAUAGGACCGAGAGCUGUGGGUAGUAAACGAGUUCACCAGAAAUACACAGUUUACUUAUGUACAGCAAGGGCCAGAAUUUAGGGUGCACCACCAUGUGGAAGAUAAGGGUUACUGUGAUGUCAGUGAGAUAGAAUCUUCUUGUCAGUGCCAGAGAAACAAGGAGGAGCAGGUGGCAUGAAAAAGACUGAGGGGCAAUGACUUAGGGCUGUUGUUGAGGGCACAUUUCUUUGAGUGACUGAGAGAACCAUCCCCAUGAAGACCAGGAGGAAACGUAUUCUACAGGAGUUGGGGAGAGUACUGUCAUGAGCCGGGGCAGGCGAAGGCUCUCAGUGUCCGGCCCGUGCUAUGCCUCCUGCCUCCUGCCUCCUUGUGCCUGUAGCCUCCCACCAGUAACCUCUGUGCUGCCUGAUGCCACAGCUGUGUCUCCAGCCCUAGCAGGGCAGCUCAUUUCUGACGUGUGGUUCAUGCCUGUGGAAGGACACUUUCUUAGGUAAUGGGCUACCCUUGCCUCCACCAGAACAAAUCCUACGCCUCACUGGUUGUCCCUUAGUCAAAAGAAAAAUCUAAAUGAAGAAACCAACACACACAUAUGCACCUCUGGCCACUUUCCUGCCUUCCUAGGUGGUGGUCUUCAUGCCUCCCAGGAUCCAAAACACUGGCACCUUGCUGACACCUCUUUCCCCUGUCACUCUUGCCCUGUCAUUUUCCUCUCCACUGCUGC
rnacentral:lncRNA from 1 species